CUCUCCGCACGCUACGCACCCAAUCCUUCCUCUCGUCUUUCUCGCACACCAGCCGCCGGACAGCCCUACCCGCAUCCCCUCCUUCCUCCUCGCUCGUCACCAGGGCCUCCGCCCUAAGAGCCUCGCUGCUGCUUGCUCCCCUCCUCCACCGGACCUUUGCUUCUUCUCCACCCCGACUUCCUUCUCUUGGUUGUUUAUCCGGCCGUCGGCGGCGACUGGUUCCAGAUCUGGCGCAAGUUAGGCGAGCCCUGUGGUGGCGUGAAGGGGCAGGGGAGGCGGGCGACGAGGACAAGCAACUGUCGGCCCGUCGUGGGUGAGGCUACAGGGAAGAGGGAGGAGGCAGGCGACAGGGUGAAGGAGCACGCUGGUCCUCGUGGAGGAGGCGUCGCCGGCCAGGGGCCAUUUGCCAUCGCCGGCCUCACUCGCCCCGUCUACUCUCUCUUCACCAACCCGACCACGGUGGAUGGGGCAAGCACGUUUGUGGCCAUCCAGUGGAGCCCCACCUCCGGUCGUAGGAUUGCGUCGCCGUCUUCUUGCGUCGGUCGUGCCCUGGACGAACUCACCCACACCAGCCGUUUCAGAUCAUGUGUUUUUUUAACGAAGUUUCAGAUCAUAUGUUGAUACUCUUUUUUACUCAAUCUUUCGUAUUAACCAUCAGCGUAAAGGAUACCAUGUUGUGAAGAAUUGCUUGGGCCCAUGCUUCAGGUGAAAUUAAUUCCUUGACUGUUCUGGUUCUUGAUAAUUCAUUCUAGAAUUUGGCCCUUAUUACUUGUGUGUCCCAGGUUACUGCUUUUUUGUUCUGUUGGUUGAGGUUUGUUCCUUUUCUUUCUAACCAACUGUUUGCUUCUUCACGGCUAAGAUUUGAGUGAAAGAAGGCCACAACAGGGGAGAAGUGCCCAGGGUCAGAACACCCACAGCUGAAGGUUAUGUCAGAUUGUACGAACUUUCGUUCUCUGUUUCCUUCUAAUUAAUAAUACUGAUGCAGUUUAAGUGGUAUGCAUUGACACAUUUUCUUAGUUUUGCAGCGCUCGAAAAUUGUGGAAGCCUGUGUGAUUCUCUCGAAUCUAGCUUAGGCCAACCGUUUAAGUGUUUGGAUGCUCUUCACAUUUGCUUAUAAACUACCAAAUCAUCUGCAGGCCUGAUCUGACAAUCACCAAAGAAUGUUUUGAACUUCUAUCGCUGGUUGACAUACCCUAAGAAGAUGGGGCAUACAAUUUUUGUUAGCCUGGAGUUAUGGACAUGCUCUUCAGUCAAAUCUCCAACUUCCCAGAUGGUUCAUUCCUUUAGGGUUGUUCUUGCGAUCCAGGUGAGUUGAGCAGUGGCUUGGUUGAAGAUGUUGGUGCUGUUUGAGACGCCCACUGGGUUCACCCUUUUCAAUGUUCUGAAUGAGGGCAAGCUCGACAUGGUCGAGGAGGUUUAGCAGGUCUGACUUAUGGUCUAAGUUGAUGGUGUUUAGCAAUAUUGGUUCGAUCCAUGCAGAGGUCCUCGCUGUCGUUGCAGUGGCAGGACAAUACGGCGAGGAGCCUCCUCCUCCUCGCGGUGGCUGGCUGUUAAAUGCUUUCGUUUUGUUUUCAUUUUGCCAAAGGUUGGACUGGUAUUUGUUUGGUUUCAUGAUGGAACAAUAUUGCGAGUCAAAUGUGACAUGCAUGAUUGUUUAGCAUUGGAACCAAAUUUCAUGGGGUAAAGCGAGCAUCACUUCCCUUCAUUUUCUGUUUGGAGUAAAGCAUGCCUUUUGGUUAAUGGUGUGAUAACCUGGUUUGCAAGUUUAUGUUUUUCUUCUGGUUCAAACAUGAAAACAAGAGGCUGAUGGAGUGCCCUGUAUUGCUGCUACUUGAUUUUCUGUGAGCUUUCAAAUUAGUUCUGCGCUGUCCUUCAACAAUUGCUUUGCUACAUACAUAUAAUGCAGAAGAAUUGGUAUCUCCAUAGGCAAUUGGUACCACGGUACGCUUGCUUAGGCCAUCUAACAUAUGGAUAGAGAUAGAGUUUAGGCACCUGGAUAAGGGGUUAUAGAGAUUGUACACCAAUAUAGCAUUAGCUGUGCAGUAUGAAAUAACUUAAGUAUCAAUAUCAAAUGUUCUUCUCUUUUCAUAGACAAAAGGGAUAAUGUGCCAUAUAUAAUUAUGGUAUGAUGCCUUUCCCACACAUUCAAUGGACAGUCCACUUCCAUGUUUAUUUCUUCUUACACCCAAAAUUUUUCUCUCUUGCAAGUAUUGACUGAAAGAUUAGCAAUAAAAUUAUUAUAAGAGUUAUUCUUGCCUACAUCGAAGCACUAUAAUGUCUACCAUUAAGUUACAGUUUAAAGUUCAUAUAUAGUAUUAUAUGUUGUUUUUAUUAUUUCGUCAAUUGAAGCUUUCUUAUUAGAUUUUUUCAAGCUGGAUUCCUUCUCAACAUCCUAUACUAAUACAGGUGAUUGGAUAAAGUUCUGUACUGAUAGUCCGAAACUUUGUGGUCGCCCAGGCUAUGCAGCCUUUAAUCAUAUUUAACAUCGUCAUGUAAGUAAAGAUGUCAUGAUCAGAAGUCAUUGGGUAUGUGCUAUAUAUAUGCGCAAAAUUUGAUAAACUACAUUGCGCAUUCAAUUGUUUUCAGGAAACAAUAUAUUUUCUUAAUUUUUUCUAACUCAAUGUGAAAACGACAUUCAUGUUUUUUUGUCCCUCGAAGGAGAUGAGGUUUAAUAUUUGCUUACAUGACCUGGAACAUUAGGAGAUGUUCAAAUGAGUAGUUAAAGAAGAAGAAUUAUUUGCAAAGAUGAUAUCUUUCUUUUCUGUAGAAAAAUGAUGGCUAUACCCACAAUAUUGCUCGACUUAGCUUAUUUGGCCAAUCAGGAUAAUAAUAAUUUUGCGGUUUUUGUACAAGUUUUAUUAGUUUAUUGUUUUCAGAAUUAGAAUCUUGCUGAUCAACCAAUCUGCAUUUUGUAGUUUAGUAGCUACCUACAUGAGGUAGGUCCAUUAACUCUUUUGUAGAACCAGAUUGUUGAUAUUUCCUCAGAAGUAAAAAUGUUACCUUUUCCUUUACUUGCUCAUUUGAAACCAGACUGUUAGGCACCCACCUUCCAAGAUAUAUAAACAACCAAAAAUAUCAUGUCAGGCUAUUCUUUUGUUCUUGAUCAAACAACCAACACUCUGGUGUAUAGGGUCUCUGGACAAACAAGCUUGAGGAGGCCAUUGUUUGGUGCAGCCCACGAUGACAACUACACCAUUGACCACUGAAGCAAGGUCCUUAUAUGGUCACUGAAGAAACGCGUUGUCAUCUUUUUUCCGACAGAAUGGCACUUUUCUUGAAUCUAUGCCAGUGUCUGUUGUAAUUUAAUAUCAUCCCUAGGAUAAACAUGAUUCUGUGUUGCCGUUCUUUAUCUCUAUUGUUGAAUCCAAAUUACUAAUGUGACAUGAUAACAUAUAUGAUGCGGUGGACAGUAUUGCUAAGAAGUGCACGGACACAGUGCUUUAUCAUGUCUUGA